rnacentral:rRNA from 1 species
AGUGAACGCUGGCGGUAGGCCUAACACAUGCAAGUCGAACGGCAGCACAGCAAGAGCUUGCUCUUACGGGUGGCGAGUGGCGGACGGGUGAGGAAUACAUCGGAAUCUACUUUUUCGUGGGGGAUAACGUAGGGAAACUUACGCUAAUACCGCAUACGACCUACGGGUGAAAGCAGGGGAUCUUCGGACCUUGCGCGAUCGAAUGAGCCGAUGUCGGAUUAGCUAGUUGGCGGGGUAAAGGCCCACCAAGGCGACGAUCCGUAGCUGGUCUGAGAGGAUGAUCAGCCACACUGGAACUGAGACACGGUCCAGGCUCCUACGGGAGGCAGCAGUGGGGAAUAUUGGACAAUGGGCGCAAGCCUGAUCCAGCCAUACCGCGUGGGUGAAGAAGGCCUUCGGGUUGUAAAGCCCUUUUGUUGGGAAAGAAAAGCAGCAGGUUAAUACCCCGCUGUUCUGACGGUACCCAAAGAAUAAGCACCGGCUAACUUCGUG